rnacentral:rRNA from 1 species
GACGAACGCUGGCGGCGUGCCUAAUACAUGCAAGUAGAACGCUGAAGAGAGGAGCUUGCUCUUCUUGGAUGAGUUGCGAACGGGUGAGUAACGCGUAGGUAACCUGCCUUGUAGCGGGGGAUAACUAUUGGAAACGAUAGCUAAUACCGCAUAACAAUGGAUGACACAUGUCCUUUAUUUGAAAGGGGCAAUUGCUCCACUACAAGAUGGACCUGCGUUGUAUUAGCUAGUAGGUGAGGUAACGGCUCACCUAGGCGACGCUACAUAGCCGACCUGAGAGGGUGAUCGGCCACACUGGGACUGAGACACGGCCCAGGCUCCUACGGGAGGCAGCAGUAGGGAAUCUUCGGCAAUGGGGGCAACCCUGACCGAGCAACGCCGCGUGAGUGAAGAAGGUUUUCGGAUCGUAAAGCUCUGUUGUAAGUCAAGAACGAGUGUGAGAGUGGAAAGUUCACACUGUGACGGUAGCUUACCAGAAAGGGACGGCUAACUACGUG